AAGUAUGGAAAACGAAGUUCAAUCUAUUUGUUUCGGUAGUUCUUCCAUUUUCUUUUCUCUUAUUUCUCCAAUUUCUCACCGCUACUACUUAUAAUAAGGGUA
rnacentral:ribozyme from 1 species